AGUGAGGCAGCUCUGCCCGGGGACGGAUCGGAGAGGAAGGGGGCGCCGGCGCGAGUUGUGGGGGUCACGGAGUUCGCGGUGCCCACCCGAUGGCCGCCGGGCCCGCCAUUCCCCGCAGCCACCGUCCAGUUCCCCAGACCCCACGCCACAGGCGCGGAAACCUCGCCGAGCGCAUCCGCCUUCCUUCCACGUACCUGACCGGCCGGGCGUUCUCCGGGGACAAAGGUGUCCUGGGAGCAGAGCCGAGCCCUCUCACCAGUGUGCCCCCCUCCGGAGCGGAGGGCUACCCCCGGGGGACUCUCUCCGAGCACCGAGAGGGAGGUUCCAUUGCAACCUCUGGUGACAGAACGGGCCUACCGGGGUGCUCGGGGGUCUGAGGGUAAAUGGCAGCGUGGAGAAACAGGCCUGCCCCCCACAGUGUCUGCUGAGACGGUGACCUGCGACGGGAGGGCUUCCUGCAUGGGAAAGGGCUCCCCCUCUGACCCCAGCGCCAAAGGGAAAAAAGUCACUUUCUUCACCUAGUCUCAGGAGCCAGGACACCGACUUCAAAGUAUCUGCUCGGCUUUGUGUUCCUUGACCAGAUAUCUGAACGAGACUGAAGGACUACAAACGACUCACAAGAGAAAGUCAGGCUUUUGAACGGCCACUCGAACUUUUCCAGGGGUUGGCAACUACUGCUAAACGGAGUUCGUAUUUCUUCCUUAUUCUUCAUUUUUCAAAAUACCGACUGGACAAAGAACUGCCAAACGGGCAAAGGAUGGCAAAUUCUUCUCCGCCCUUCAGAAUUCAGGCACUAUAGAAAGACUCAAAUCGGAAGCCUUCCACAUCCCAGACUACCUGGAAAGAUAGCGUUUUGAAGGGCAGAGGGUAGGGAAAGGGGGCAAGGUGGAGCAUGCAUCCUGAAGCAUGGAAAAGAAGGAGAACCGAAGUCGUGCACUGGUUCCUCUCAGAACAGCACAGAGGGAGAACAAAUGGGCCGUUCUUCAUUACAGGAGGACCAAGGAAAUAAUUCAGUAGUUGGACAGAGUGAUGCAUGCUUUUACUCCAAGCACUCAGGAGGCAGGGGGAGGAUCUCUGUGAGUUCCAGUCCAGCCUGGUCUACAUAGUGAGUUCCAGGGCAGCCAGAGCUACAUAGUGAGACCAGCAUCCAUGGGAGGCAGGUCACAACUGCGUGUAAUUCCAGCCGCUUACAUGGGCACACACAGUCACAUAAUUAAAAAUAAAUCUUAAAAAAACAUGCCCUGCAACUUAACUGAGCAACACGGGCUGGCCUCAAGGCAGAGUGCUGGGCUUACAGGCAUGCAGCCACCAUGCACAGCCUAAAAAUAACUCCUUAAGAUGACACUGGAUGUCAUAAAUCAGGAGAGGAGAACGUAAGAGAAAGGAGUGGAGAGAGCUGAAGCUGGGUUCUACUCCAGCUGAUCCCCACACAAGUUGCCUGGGCCAACUAUCGAAUCGUUUCAAGUUUCACCAACCUCGUGCUGAAGAUUCCCAGUGCCCUUUCGAGAUGGAAAGGUCCCUUUGGGGUUUUUUGUUUUGGUAGAAGGUAUAAUAUACCUGAGGCUAACCUAGAUCUCUCAGUGUGGCUGAGGAUGACCUUGAACUUCUGAUCUACCUUCCUCUGUCUUCCAAGAGCUAGGAUUAAUUACAGGGUACAAGCUAGGCAGUCUUACCAAAUGAGCUACAUUCCCAGCACACAGACACACCCUUAUUAGUAUUUUUAGAGUCUGUGUAGCCAAGAGUGGCCUCAAUUCUCAAUCCUCCUGCUUCAGCCCUCUAGGAGAUGGGAGUUAUAGGCAUGUGGCCUCACACCUGUCUCCUCAGUGCAAAUUUUUUUGUGUGUUUUUGUUUUUUUUGAGACAGAAUUUGUCUGUGUAACAGUUACAGCUAUCCAUCCUGGAACUUGCUCUGUAGACCAGGCCGGCCUCGAACUCACAGAGAUCCGCCUGCCUCUGCCUCCUGAGUGCUGGGAUUAAAGGCAUGCGCCACCACGCAGCCUGAGUAUAUUUUUUUAAGGAAUCACUAGAACACAGAGAUAAAAAAUUUUUUUCACUCUUCUUAAUUUUCUGUACAUAUCAAAGAACCUAAUACCAUCCCGGGUCUCCUUACCCGAGACUCAACAGCCAUUCCAACAGGAACUGCUUACAGGAAUUGCUUAGAGUAAUUGAGUGAGUCUUUAUAUUAAGCAUCAUAUAAUUCAAAAUAUCAAUACAAUACUAGCCAAGCAUGAUGGCGCACACCUCUAAUCCCAGUACUUGAGAGGCAGAUCCAGGCAGAUCAUCUGGCUGGACGUACGUGAGAGUAGCUAUGGUUUUCUCCAAGGUUUGUUGUGCAGAUUUCAAAGCCAAUGAGGGUUACUUUGCCCAAGAAUUGGGGAAAUGUGGGCUAAACUUCAGCAGAAUCCUUUGCUGUACACCUUACAGAGUCUGUUGUAUGUGUUCUGUAUGGGACUGCCCCCGAGAAUUUUCAUUCCCCAUGUGCUUUCCUGACAUUUGCUUUUGGAAGCAUGGAAAGCAAUCUGGUUGAUUGUUGAAGAAUUAACUCGUAGGAAAAGUACCUUGAGGAAAAACCAGGGUCCGUUAAGCCCUUUUUACUGUGAACAUAUCCUCUUAGACCCCUGAGUACUACAGAUUUUUCUAGUUUUUUUUUGGUUUUGAGACAAAGGCUCACUCCGCCCUAAGCUGGCAGAAGCUUGCAGCAGUCGUCUUUCCUCUGCCUACCUAGUGUGCUAGAAUUACAGGUGAGAGUCGCCACACCCACCUCUGGCACACAUGUUCUGGAAUCUUCCACAAUGGUCACCAUCUUCAAGAGAUGGUGAUACAGAGCCAGAGAGAUGGCUCAGCUGUUAAAGGCUAGGCUCACAACCAAAAGGGUAAGAGGUGAUUUGAUGGGCACUGCUGCCGCUAAGCCUAACAGCUAUCACUGGCCAUGGCUGUAGCACUUCAGGUUCCUGGUGGCUCACGCGUUUAACAUCCCGGCACCCAAGAGGCUGAGGGUUAUCAGGGUCAUCCUGAGAUACAGAGCGAGAGCCUGUCUCCAAAAGUGAAAGCAGCAUCAGGCAGAGUGGGCUAUGGUGCCCCUGUGCCCGUGUGCUGGCACGGCUGCCACCUCUUCCUCUAAGAGGCUGUGGUGUAAUGACCUGGAGCACAGACUUUACCCUCCAGAAGCCCUUGAUUCUGAUCCUGGCCCAGGCUCUUAAAGGGUGCGGAUCCUUAAGCUCCAAGCCUCAGCUUUUUUAUCAGCGAAAUGGUGUUUCAACCUCACAGGAAUGCUGGCGGAUUAAGUGAGAAAGUUUUGGACUGGAGAGAUGGCUCAGAGGUUAAGAGCAUUGCCUGCUCUUCCAAAGGUCCUGAGUUCAAUUCCCAGCAACCACAUGGUGGCUCACAACCAUCUGUAAUGGGGUCUGGUGCCCUCUUCUGGCCUGCAGGCAUACACACAGACAGAAUAUUGUAUACAUCAUAGAUAGAUAGAUAGAUAGAUAGAUAGAUAGAUAGAUAGAUAGAUAGGAAAAAAAGUUUAUAUGCCUGACAGUAAUCCCUGAAUUAACGGACCCCAGCACAACUUCCCAUUUCUGCCGGGGCUCUAUGCACUUCUCCAUAGUUUGGUUUGGCAGUGCAGUUUGAUUUGGAAAAACAGGCUGCCAGCAGACUGAGCACUUGCAGCAGGAAAGGGAUUGCAUGUCGUAAAAGCAUUACAUUUUGGGGGGUGGUUAUUCCAAUUUUUGGUCGGUGUAACAAAUACCUGAGAAAACUUACACAAGCUGGGGCUUAUUGGGCUCAUGGUCCUAGGGUCCAAUGCUUCAUGUAGAAGGGCAGGAUGGAGCAGAAGUGUUCAUCUUGUACAGGAACGAGGAGUGACAGGAAGUGGCCUGAGACAAGAUAUGCUUCAAAGUUCUGCCCUCAGUGACCUGUUUUUCCUUCCAAGGCCCUAAGAGUCAUUUGUUUAUGAACUAAUACAUGGACCGAUUGUUGAUGAAGUCAGUCACCCAACAGUGCCACCAAAGUGAGACCAAGCUUCAAAUACAAGAGCCCUUUGGAAGAACACUACAUACCCAAACAGUAAAAAAUAAAAUCUCUUCAUUUAUGGUCAUCCCCUACCCUGUAAAUUUAGAAGGCUCAGACUUUUGUGUUGUUGGAUAUUGAACCCAGGGGCUAUACCUCCUCCAGCCGAGGGUGUAACACAGUAAAGAUGACACGAACUGUUCUCAGGGCCAGUGUAGAAGAGGCGGUGUUUGGGAGGUGAUACAACACUGUUCCAGUCUCAUCUGCAAGCUGACCACGGUUCCAUGAGCAGUGUUCACACAGUAUCAGCGACCAUCACGUGACUGUGGCUGACAGUGGGGAGGCUGACAUGUGGAAUUUUCAUCUGUGUACUUUCCUGCAAGCAGGUGAUGGACGGCAUGUCUGUUCUCCAUCAAACAGUUAUUUGAUGGUUCCCAAUAUCGUGUUACCUUUAAGACUGCUCAUGGACUCACGGUCACAGUUUUCAGAUGAGGAGACCGAGAGGGGAUGAGACUGGUGUCGGACACCAGUCUUGACAAAAAUACCUCUUGCCAGACUGAAACAUCUGGAGAUCAGCCCAGAGCCUUGCAUAUGCUAGACAACCACUCUACCACUGAGCUAAACCCUAAGCUAAGCAGUCAUUCUUCCUGCACAACACAGCUCACAGGAGAGCAGAGAUGUCCACAGAGAAGAAAGGGAUCCUCCAUCAGCGGCAGGUAGGUCCCGGCUAGACGGGUGUGAGUAAAGCCUUUUAAGAACUGAUCUUGUGCUGGGUGGUGGCGGCGCACACUUUUAAUCCCAGCACUCAAAAGCAGAGGCAGGCAGAUCUCUGUGAGUUCGAGGACAGCCUGGUCUGCAGAGUGAGUUCCAGGCAGCCAAGGCUACACAGAGAAACCCUGUCUCAGAAACAAACAAUUGAUCAUGUGAUGCAGAUGAGAGCAACUCUAAACUUCCUGGAAGACUCCAUGGUCUGUAAAUUUUUAAUAGUACUGUAAAAAAAAAAAAAUGGGUCAAUUGAAGUGAUCAGAGGAGAGUAACUUGUGAAUGAACAGCACCAUCAACAGCAGCUGGCUUCUGUGCUCUGCAGCGACUCCUAACUAUCCACACAGCAGGGGGCCGGUUAUAAACUACACAAUUGUGGGUGUCUCCACUAACACCAAACACUUGGGUGUGCACAUUAAGACAGACAUGAUACCAUAAUCGUGUAUGAACUAUUCCACCUCUAGUGGGAGGACCAGACAUUAUGCAGGAACCUGUUUGCCUCAUGAUAAGAUGAUGAUGGCUGGCAUGCCAAGGGUCAGGAAACUACAACCUCCAGGCUCCAUUUGCCCUACCUGGCCUUGUAUGAAUUUUGAGCUAAGAAUGAUUUUUAUGUUUUUAUACGGUUGUACUACAUUGCCCAGAGUGAUGCAGAACUCCUGCAGCCUCCCAAGCAACUGGGACAACAGGCCCACUCCUAGCUUACAUUUUUAAACGGUUGGAAAAAGAAAUGUUUUAUGACAUAUGAAAAGUAUAUGAAAAUUAUCCAAGCUCAAGCUUGAUUCUUUUAUAACAAUCACAUAUUCCUUUUCACACCAGCUCACUGGGAAAGAAGCCUUUGAUCCCAGCACUCGGGAGGCAGAGGCAAGAGGAUCUCUGAGAAUUUGAGGCCACCCUCGUCCACAUAAAGAAAGUGCUGGAGGCCCUGGAGCUGGGGAGACUGGCAGCUAUGAGCAGUCUGAUGUGGGUGCUGGGACUGCAAAGAGCACCUGAACCAUCUCUCAAGUUCCUCUUCUGGUUUCUUUUAACUUAAAACACGGUCUGUUCUGCAGCUUGCCCCUCACCCCUGGCCAUUAGUUUCUGCUUCCUUUACAGGUUUGGAGAUGAGAAGUAGUCAACCUCUUAGUGAGCCCUUCAGGUUCAGCAUCCUUGCCACGUAUGGCAGCACACACUGGGAACCCCAGCACGUGGGAAGAUGAGGCAGGAGGAUUGCUGUAAACUCAAGCCCGGCCUGUGCUAUACUCAGGUCUACAGUCAUGCCGUAGCCUUUACUACAGAGCAGCCUCCUGAGUUUUGUGCGGUCUUGUUAUCCUGAAGACUCCACAAAACGAGCCGAGUGUGUGAUGGACCCACGGGCUCAGCAGAGACAACAUUUCCCGAGUCUGCCUGAGUGGGGAAUUGCAUGGUCUGCUUGGUGAGGAUUCAAGACCGUCCCACUUUAACCUCCCCUACCUCACUCUUUCCAGAUUAACAGACAACUCCAAAGCCCUCCAUUGCUGCUUAUUUGUUUCUGUUGCUCUUUCCACAAGGGGAAAGCGGGGAUGCAGCCCCCGACCCCAAAUGACAGCCGAGUUUUCCACAUUUUGGGAAAUCACGGGAGUCCACAAUCAGGAGCACAGCGGAUGGGGCUCACUCGACAAAAUCAUCUUGGCGAUCACAGCAGCUUUAUCUGCCAGGUAGGCACACACUGCCAUCGGCAUCUUGAUGGCCUCCAUGAGAGCUGCCCAGGGCAAGCCAGCAUCUGCCACUCACACGAUUGUAGUGCAGAGGCUGUGGCCUGGCAGCCUGGAAUACCAAGAAGCCUGACCAGCCAGGAGCAGGCUUGGCGACAGCAGCUCAGGGCUCAGAUGGUCCCUGGCCCCGCCACUGCACAGCCCUGCCUGUCACAGAUGGACGGCUUUCACAGCCACCGAUUCACGUUCUUCACUCUGCCUCAUGAGUGAGAGGACAGCAGCUAGGGACCGAUCUCUGACCUUGACACAUAAACAGCCUACAAGAUUGCACUUGCCAAUUAAUAAGGGGUGGACCCAGUGGUUCGCCAAUGCCCUUCUGCUUUAAUUAGAACCAGCAUUCAAAGGCCUCUGGGGAAAAUCUUCCAUCUGAAGUAAAGCUGAGAAGUUUCCACGUCAUUCAUUCCAUCAUUCAUUCAUUCAGUCACUAGCACGGACAGUCAUCCGUGCACAAUCAUCUGUGCUCACCACGGUGCUGAGCGCUUCAAGAAUUCCCAAAGCCCACUCACUCGCGCUGUCAGAAAACAGUGGACAGGCAGGCAGGCAGUCAAGGGAACACGCUCUUAUUUCACAGACCUUCCGGCUCGUUUCUGCUGUGUGACCUUUGGCACACUAGUUAACCUCUCGGCCCUCGGCUUCCUCUAGGGGUUAAUGAUCCCACCCUCCAGAGGUUUCAGCGAGUUUAAGUGAGACCAUCUGAGUACAACAGUCAGCGAGCCGGCAAGCAGCCACCAUAGCGCUGGCCCAACCCCCUCUCCCUCCUGGUCUCUUUCCCCUGGCACUCUGCCAGCCACGGGGAGCCUCAGGAGGACUCAGUCUCUGCCCUCAGUCCUGCUGAGCUCCGUCACCCACCGUCACCCACUGACAGCUCUAAGAUGGGUGGCCACGGCUCUAAGAAGAGCAUCAGUGUGAAGCCAGAGGCUCUCCCUGAGGAAAGGACCACGGGGACUCACCUUAAGGCAUCUGCUACUGGCUUGCCAUCAGAUGUCUCAGGCGUCUUCCGUCACUAUGUCUUUAUUUUCCUGAAUGUUCUUCAUGUUAGAGUUGCCAGCACUUGCAGGUCGAGUUAGCAUUAAUCACACUGUGAAGCAUUUGUGUGAGGCGGUCACCAGGAAAAGCCAGGAGGACCCUAUCUAUCCCGUGCUCACCCCACACCCUGACACCUUGUCAAGGCUCUCCAAAGCCUCAGGGGCCUCUGGGCCACCUGGGCUGUUCUCUGGGGAGUGUCCUGAAGCUCAGCGCAGCCCACCUUUCAAGUGGCUGUCCUGGAACUCGCUCUGUAGACUAGUGUGGCCUCGAACUCACAAAGAUCUGCCUGCCUCUGCCUCCUGAAUGCUGGGAUUAAAGGUAAUGUACCACCACUGGUUUUUUUUUUUUGUUUUUUUUUUUUUUUUGAGACAUGGUCUCAUUCUGAAGCCCGGGCACAUUCAACUCUAUCUUCAUUUUUAAUCCUCAUUUUUUUUUUCAGGAAAAAAUUUAAGCCUAGAGAAAAUUGAAAAAAAAAAAUUACUAGUCUCUGUCUAGGUUUUUUUUCCUUAAUCAGAAUUUUGCCACCUUUGCACUCUCUCCCUGUCUCCAUUAAGGGUAUAUAAUAUGCCUCAUGUAUUAUGUGUAGAUACACACACGUACAGGUUUAGCAUUGUUGAGCCACUGAGAAGUUUCAGAAACGCUGCUUUUCCAUUCUUAAACGUGGCUACUGAAACAGCCCGUUUGGCUCCCUGUGCCAGUCCCUGAAACUCAGCUUAUUCUUUUUUUUUUUUUUUUUCCGAGACAGAGUUUCUCUGUAGCUUUGGGGCCUGUGUGAGUUUAUUCUAGAGGCUUCUAGAGGCACCCAAGGGUGAGGAGCUGGAGUUCUGUCUUAAAUCCUGAGAAGCAGGGCGAAUGGUGUGGGAAGUCCUUCUGUGUAUGGGUGGCUUUUAUUGGUUAAUCAAUAAAGCUGCUUUGGCCUAUGGCAGGGCAGAAUAAAGUGGUAAUUCCGUGCGGAGAUAGAGGAGAAAAGAGGGCAGAGUCAGGGAGACGCCAUGUAGCUGCCAAAUGAGCCUCAUGGUAAAAUAUAAUAGG